rnacentral:misc_RNA from 1 species
UUUCCGUAGGUGAACCUGCGGAAGGAUCAUUAUUGUAUAACCAAUGUGCUGGAGCUGUCGUUGACCCGAAUGGGCGCGCACGCCCGAUUCACCUCACACACAUGCACCUCACGCGUGUGUCCGCCCCCGCAGCGUGCCCCCUUACGCUUGUUCGGAGGGGGUCUCUCGUUUUCACUCAAUCUUAGUCUGUAUAGUAGAAUAUAUUUAUUAUUUUUACGAUACCGCUAUCAAUACAACUUUCAACAACGGAUCUCUUGGCUCUC